UCGAUUGCUUCAAAUUUUCGUUCGCGUAGCCAUGUCCGUUCUUUUCUCCGUUUCGGUUGACUAUUAAGAUCGCUUUCCACUGUUUCCUUUUGGCUUCCGUUCAGGUAUGCAAACGUUUGUAUUCAACCGUUUGUUUUCUUAUGUUUCCCUUUAGCGUAAUCUGCUUCAAAUUCAACAUUCAAUAUUCAGGUUUGCUAUAUUAUUUCAAGUUUUCGAAUCUUCAUCUGAAUCUUCAAUCUUCACUCUUUUUAACUACAGGUUUACUUCGCUGUUUUCAAUACCUUCGAUCUUUAAUUUUCUGUUCGUUUUCAAGUCGGUGAGUUAUUCUAUUUUCUUCUUUGGAUUUUUCCCUAUUCUCACAUUUUCUGCAGGUAGAUAAAAAAAUACCCUGUCCUUAAAUUUUCUUCUUAAGAUUUGUCCCGUGUUCUAACAUUUUCUGCAUCUAUUUUCGAUGUUCUUCUUGACUGGUGUUUUUCUAUUUUCAAAAUAGAGUACUAACUUUUUUUCCACUUAAAUAUUAAAUUUAUAGAUACAGUUGAAUGAAUAUUUUAUAUUUUAUUUGUUUAUUUUAAUAUGCCUAAAAUAAAGGGCAUAAAAUGUGAACAGAUAUGCCAUUUAUUUUAAGAAGAUUAAGUGGGAUUUUUUUGUGUAAUUAUAAAUAUAUAUUGUUCUUAUAAAUUUUAGAGAAUAUAAAAAUGAAAAAGGGAAAGGGAGAGGUUAGAACAAGAACAAGUGAUCGGUUAAGAUCCGCGGAGAUCACUGGUUACAAGAAACGAUUGUCAACUGUAAUUCAAACUCUACCGAGUUCUUCUGACGAGAGAACAAAAAAUAUAAGGGCAGAGGGAUCGGGGAGCAAGCGAGAGAGUCCAAGAACUUAAAAAAAGAGGAGGAUGAUUGAACCGCCAAAACAAGACGUCAAUGUAUAAAAGAAACAGAGGAUAAAAAGCUUGGUUUCAAGAAGGCGAGUUUACAGAAGGAAGGGUGGAGGAAAGAAACAAAAAGAGAUUGAAGGAAAGAUAUGUGUUCCCCUUUAUUAUAUAGAUUGAUUAUAGUUUUGACAAACAGCAAGAUACUGAAAGCGAAAGCGAAGAGGAGGAACAAGUAGAAGAAGAUGAGCAACAAGAAGAAGAUAAACAAGUAGAAGAAGAAACACGAUGAUGAAGGGGAAGGUGAGACAACAAUAGAUGAAGAUUCGAGUUCAUCGACGAGUGAACAAGAUGAAAGACCAACGGAUACUAAGAAGAGAAAAAAGACUGAGGAAAAUGGAAAGAAAGUAGGCACAUAAUUUGAUAAAGUGUUUAUUAUUUUAUGUAUUGGCUAUAAAUUUUGGUUUUAUAAAAUAGGUGAAGGCUAUUAAAAAGAACAAAAGGCAAGAGAAGAUCAAAGGAGGAAGGGAAAAGCAUCCAUGAAAUCAGAUAAAUCUGAGCUUGAAGUGUCCCACAUGCUCGCUACACCAAUUGAAGUUGGAAUCUCAUAUUUUGCACCAUUCCUGGAGACAGAAAAAGAUAUAUACAAAGAAGCAAAGGAUGAGCUUCGAAAGACCCAAAAUUCUGACCGCGUAGCCCAUGUUUCGCUGAAUAGAGGCAUGCCCUCUACAAGUGGGAUUGAUGGCCUGACUAGAAUGGUAAAAAAGAUUAAGAAGAGCCAAAAGAGGAUGAAGACAAGUAUGGAAGGGAGCAAGGGCGUUUGAAGAGCACCUUGACAAGGUGGAGGAGGACCAAGAAGAAGAUGACAUUGAAGAUUUAAACUUGGGUUCAAGCAAUCCAAAGGUGCUUGGAAAAAUGGAUAAUGAUGAAGACAAAGAUGGACAAGGGCUCAUGGAUGAAAGUCGAACACAAACUUCCAGAGGGCAAGAUGGUGGACAACCUAAAAUGACACAAUCAGGCACACAACCAACAACUGGAGAUAAAGAUUGUUUGCCAUAUAAGGCCACGGAGGAAACCGAGGAGGAGAUAAACAGGCUGAUACGGUCAAUCAAUGAAAGUGUUAUAUAUGAUGAAAUGAAGAAAAAAGAAGACAACAGGGAACCUAGGUAGUUCAUUUUCAAAUUUGAGGAUGCUCAAUGAUAGGAGAGACUUCUUUUUAUUUCUUUUGAGGGACAAAUGCGUUGUCUAAAACCCAUCAGAGAUUUUUUGUAACUUCAUCCCAAGAAAGGAGUCUUGGAACACUAACAGAUGAUUUAUUGAGAUUUUUUCUAUCAACAUAGUUUUUCCUUUA